UCAACACUUCACCCCAGCACCCCAGGGCACUGGGCUUUUGCACAUCCUUUCAUCCUGAGCUUAGCAGCCAUUAGUGUUCUGAUGUAAUCAAGCUUGCAAACAAAAAAUGUUUUGCCUACUCCUCUCCUCGUAAUGUAGGCUACUCAAAACUUUUGCCACUUUAGGGGAAACAGGCUAUGCUUCUGUAAUAAAAUUAUUUUGUACAAGCAGGCAGGCAGGUAUUGAUUUUUGCAACAUUCUGGGCCAUUGAGCAGCCAUCCCAAAGUACAAUGGCCUUAUUUACCCCAUCACCAGGUCUUUUUUUCAGUUAACUGGGUCCUUCAUCACCUUUGGGUGUUUUGACACUUACAGGUAAUGACUUCACAAUCCUUGGAAUUUUCCCAUACCCUCGUGCAAGCACAGCCUGAGUAUAAAGGUGCCCCCACCCCACCCCGCUCCAAAUUUGCCAGCCCCCUUUCACAAAUUGCUUGUGCUGUUGACCACGAACUGCUUCGCCAUGUCUCAGAAAGCAAAGGCCACCAGUAUGGAGUCAAUGACCCAGGAGGCUGAUACCUCCAACGCCUGUGGACCCAAGUGGCCCUUGGGAAGAACUGGAGGACUUAAUCGACAUUUGGUUAGAGCAAAGAAUCAUAGACAGGCUGGAAAGUAGGAGGAAUAAGCCUGUUUAUGAAGAGAUCGCAAAAGGCAUGCAGGCAUGAGGGCACAAUCGUGACUGGACCCAGAUCCAGCACAAGAUCAAGUCCCUGAGAUCAGUGCAUUACAGAGCCAAAUAUGCGAACUCUCGUUCUGGGGCCAGUCGCACAAUUGCCCCCUUUCUAUGACAAGCUGUCCAUCAUUCUCUUCAAGGAUGACCUGGGUGAUAACCUGGGUAUGGAGACUUUCAGCACUGGGGUUGGGCAGGAGGAGGAAGAAGAGGAGGAGGAGGAGGUGGCAGCAUCCCCUCCUGAGGGUGAAACCAUGAGCAUGUCUCAGCUGUACAGAGACCGCUCCCCUCCCUGCUCCCUGAUGACCAUGAGUGGCAGAAAGAACCGUCGGUCACUGUACACUUAGUGCCGCUUAGCCCCUCCAUUUCACAGACUAGCACAGAUAAUGAAGCAAAGGAAGUGGAGGGUCAGGAAGAAACCUAUACGGCUGAUACAUUAUCUACUGUUACCGAGACCCAUGAAGAUGCUGGAGCUGGUAAGUCUCUUGUAAUGUGCCUCUUGCCACUGCCAGUCAAUGCCCAGGUUUGUGCUGGUUGGGUUUGCGGGACCUGGGGGGAGGGGGAGAAAUUCAUGUGUUGCUGUAGGUGGGAUGCCAUGUUCUUUUGGUGGUGGUGCAUGACGGGUUCAAUAGCUCAUAAUGUAAAAGACACCAAACUACUUAUUUACUUUAAUUUUUUUUUUGCAGCUAUCACGGGCAGUGGCAGCCGUGGACCUGUUUCCAAACUACCACAACCCAUGGCUGCCCAGAACAGCGCCCUGCUCGCACUACAGCAGAGCACUGCAGAGAUUUUCGCAGCAAGCAGAGAUGGCUCUGUGAAACCUCACUUGAGGUUUUCACAAACUCCUCAGUAGCCAGAGCGAAACCCGCAGAUGCCUGGUAGGACAAACUCUGUGAGUCACUGUGUAAGGAGGAUGCCAUCCUCAAGGAAGUGCAAGACACCAUGUGGAAUUUGACAGAUGUGGUCAAUGAGUCCCAUGUUGAAUUAAAGAGGUCACAGGACACUUUCAGUUAUGCCUUUCAGAGUGUGCACAAGUACCUAAAUAAAUGGGCACGAUGCCUGAAAGGAAAAGUCAGUCCACUCAUCUUGCCUCUGUGCCAGACAAGCGGACAAUUACAGCUGAGCCUGUUCCCCCUAACUCAGUGGGGUCAAAGGAGGGCCAUAUGACUGCCAGCCGGGCCAGGAGGGCACCACUGCAUUUCAGGGUGACAGGGGGGGUGCAGGGUCAUGGUGGGGUGAAGGCAAAGAAGUACAAGUAACUACAAUAGUGUGUUGCAAACAAUAAAACUUCAUGGUUUCCUGUG